ACGCUCUAUCUUCAUUUGAAAGCUUAGACAUGCUUCUUUUUUCUCUGAUCCUGACUGAGGCUAGCUGACUCUUCUUCUUCCUAAAGCACAAGGUCAGGUGCACCUCAUAUUGCAAGUGCCUAGGGUGUGACAAUCCCAAGGGGGUCAAAGGAGGUGAGUUGAACACCGGAUCAGGAAGUGCUGAUGGCGUAGGCAACAUACCUGAUGAAGCAGUGCAAACGACCACACCAUCAAUUACUAAACCAGGUCAGGUUGAUACUACCAGCAUGGCAUAUUGUCCGGAUCAACCCUCACGGCCUAUGAGCGAGUGACCAGGAUUCUAGGUAACUGAGAGGAGCUCUGCUGCUCAGGUGCUACACAAACGGAAGCAUUCCGUGGAUACUGAAGGUGCCCUUGCAGUUGCAGAACACACAGUGCAAACUGAACCAUUGGCUAGUGACACCAAUACACAGACAAUUUCAUCUCAGACUGAACUAAAUACAAAGGAGCAUCAGGCUGCAAUAGUUAUUCAAUCAGCCUUUCGAGCAUUCUUGGUUGCCACGCGGAUGCUCUUUGGACUACGAUAUGGACAUGAAGACAUUUGUUUUAGUGCCAAAUAUUACUUACUAAUGCCCACAAAGUAUC